GCCGAGGUAGCUCAGCCUGGUCAGAGCGCUGGACUCAUAACCCAGAGAUCCGGGGUUCGAAGCCCCGCCUCGGCA
rnacentral:tRNA from 1 species